CAAACAGGACGGUAGGCAAACAGGACGGUAGGCAAACAGGACGGUAGGCACAACAGGGACGAGCAAACAGACGGUAGGCAAACAGGACGGUCAGGCACCAGGACGGCAGGCAAACAGGACGGUAGGCAAACAGGGACGUCAGGCAAACAGGACGGUAGGCAAACAGUCAGGCAAACAGGACGGUAGGCAAACAGACUAGGCAACAGGACUGAGGCAAACAGACGUAGGCAAACAGGAGCGGUAAGGCAACAGGACGGUAGGCAAACAGGACGUCAGGCAAACAGGACUGUAGGCAAACAGGACGUCAGGCAAACAGGACGUCAGGCAAACAGGACGGUAGGCAAACAGGACGGCAGGCAAACAGGACGGCAGGCAAACAGGACG
rnacentral:lncRNA from 1 species